rnacentral:rRNA from 1 species
UUCGCAAUGCCCGAAAGGGUGACGAAGCGACGCCGCGUGUGGGAAGAAGGCCUUCGGGUUGUAAACCACUGUCGGGAGUUAAGAAAUGCAAGGAUAUUAAUAGUGUCUUUGUUUGACUAAGGCUCCGGAGGAAGCCACGGCUAACUCUGUGCCAGCAGCCGCGGUAAUACAGAGGCGGCAAGCGUUGUUCGGAAUUAUUGGGCGUAAAGAGCACGUAGGCGGCUAUGUAAGUCGGUUGUGAAAGCCUUCCGCUCAACGGAAGAACAGCAUCCGAUACUACAUGGCUUGAGUGCGGGAGGGGAGAGUGGAACUUCUGGUGGAGCGGUGAAAUGCGUAGAUAUCAGAAGGAACGCCGGCGGCGAAAGCGGCUCUCUGGCCCAUAACUGACGCUGAGUGUGCGAAAGCUAGGGGAGCAAACGGGAUUAGAUACCCCGGUAGUCCUAGCCGUAAACGAUGGGCACUAAGUAGAGGGGUUU